rnacentral:tRNA from 1 species
GGGCCGGUAGCUCAAUGGUAGAGCAUCUCCCUCUUAAGGAGACGGUUCUGAGUUCGAGUCUCAGUCGGCUCA